UAACCAUUUAGAAAUGAAAGUACAAUCAACCCAGAGGCAGGGGCUAUACAGGAGUGCUGAUAAGGAGCUACAAAGAUGCUCUCCAUAAGAGUAGCCAUGGGCCUGGCCCAUCCCUUCCUCUGCCAAGCCAGGCUACUCUCCAAAAAUACCCUGGGGACAACCUUUAUUGCAGUAAGGAACAUCCAUACUUCUAAGCCUUCCAAGAUACUUUCUCUCUUUGAAUCAAAAGUUCUGGAAAAUGAGCCCGAAAUUCUUCCUCCUAUUGACCUUCAAGAAGCUGGGCGUGUCCUGACUAUUGGUGAUGGUAUUGCCCGUGUACAUGGAUUAAAGAAUGUUCAAGCAGAAGAAAUGGUGGAAUUUUCUUCAGGCAUAAAAGGGAUGUCCCUCAACCUGGAACCUGACAAUGUCGGUAUUGUUGUAUUUGGAAAUGACAAACUCAUUAAGGAAGGAGAUAUUGUAAAGAGGACAGGAGCCAUUGUAGAUGUUCCAGUUGGUGAGGAGUUGCUGGGCCGUGUUGUAGAUGCUCUGGGCAAUCCUAUUGACGGAAAGGGUCCAACUAAAGUCAAAGAACGUAGAAGAGUUGGUCUGAAAGCUCCUGGAAUCAUUCCCAGAAUUUCCGUGUGUGAACCUAUGCAAACUGGCAUUAAAGCCGUCGACAGUUUGGUACCAAUUGGCCGUGGUCAGCGGGAGCUGAUUAUUGGUGAUAGACAGACUGGAAAAACAUCAAUUGCCAUUGCAACAAUCAUUAACCAGAAACGCUUUAAUGAUGGAACUGAUGAAAAUAAGAAGUUAUAUUGUAUCUAUGUAGCUAUUGGUCAAAAAAGAUCCACUGUUGCCCAACUGGUAAAGAGACUUUCAGAUGCAGGUGCCAUGGACUACACCAUAGUGGUUUCAGCCACUGCUUCUGAUGCUGCCCCGCUUCAGUACCUGGCGCCUUAUUCUGGCUGCUCAAUGGGAGAGUAUUUCCGGGACAGUGGGAAACACGCUCUAAUAAUCUAUGAUGACUUAUCCAAGCAGGCAGUUGCCUACCGUCAAAUGUCUCUGCUGCUCCGUCGCCCACCUGGUCGGGAAGCUUACCCUGGUGACGUCUUCUACCUACACUCCCGUUUGCUAGAGAGAUCGGCUAAAAUGAGCAGCACUUUUGGUGGCGGCUCCUUAACUGCCUUACCAGUCAUUGAAACACAAGCUGGGGAUGUAUCUGCUUAUAUUCCCACCAAUGUCAUCUCCAUCACCGACGGACAGAUCUUUCUAGAAACAGAACUGUUCUACAAAGGUAUUCGCCCUGCCAUUAAUGUUGGUCUGUCUGUGUCUCGAGUUGGGUCUGCUGCUCAAACCAAGGCCAUGAAACAGGUGGCAAGCACAAUGAAGCUAGAGCUGGCUCAGUACCGUGAAGUAGCUGCUUUUGCUCAGUUUGGCACUGAUCUAGACCCUGCAACUCAACAAUUGCUGAAUCGUGGAAUACGGCUAACUGAGUUGUUAAAACAAGCCCAAUAUGCUCCCAUGGCAAUUGAAGAACAGGUGACAGUCAUCUAUGCUGGUGUAAGAGGAUAUCUUGACAAAAUGGAUCCCAUUAACAUCACCAAAUUUGAACGUACUUUUUUAGCUCAUGUAAUUGAGAGCCACCAGGCCCUCUUGAAUUGCAUCAAAAGUGAUGGAAUGAUCUCGGAAGAAUCUGAGAAGAAGUUGAAAAAAGUUGUCAACAGCUUCUUGGCUGAAUUUAAAGGUUAAAUUCCCAAAGAUGUGUACAACAUGCAGUUUGGUUCUGUCACAAUUUCUUCUACUGAUUCAGUCCUAUUCAAUAUAGAACUUAAAUUAUGCACUCAUGCACCCAAUAUACAAAAACUGAUUUCUAAAAAAUCAGGGCUCAUUAAGAACCAACAUUUCUUUAUGAAAAACACGUAACAGCAAACUACUGUAUUUUGUAUAUACUUACAAGUAUUUUGACAUACUUAGAAAAUUGGUUAGGACAGCAUCAUGAAUAAGGUACAUUUAGAUUGUUAGCAAAAUUUGACAAAAUAGCUCAUGUUUUGCUUGUUGAUGAGAGAGAAACAGUGAGUCAGACUAGAAAGGAAUGUAGUGACAUUGAUCUAAGGCCAGAAGAACAAGCAGAUCUAAAGAAUCAUCUAAACGGGUUGAUAUAAACUUGCAUAGAGAUCUCCAAAAAUUUUGUCUUUAGAUCUGUGCUGUUCAACAUUCUUAGCAAUGAUUUGAAAAUACAAAUGGCAUGCUCAGUAAUCCACAAGCAUAUUAUUAACUUGUAGUGUAUCAAGCAUUAGGGAUUUUUUUUUAAAGGAAGACAAUCACUUUUCUCAAGGAGCUUAUUUUAUUGGUGGUGAAUGAGUGCUAAGAAACUAGGAGGAAUAGCUAAUGUGUGAUAUGACAGAGGCAAACUCCCCAAAAU